UAAAGAAGGGACUUGAAUUUUAG
rnacentral:piRNA from 1 species